rnacentral:rRNA from 1 species
GAUGAACGCUGGCGGCGUGCCUAAUACAUGCAAGUCGAGCGAACAGACGAGGAGCUUGCUCCUCUGACGUUAGCGGCGGACGGGUGAGUAACACGUGGAUAACCUACCUAUAAGACUGGGAUAACUUCGGGAAACCGGAGCUAAUACCGGAUAAUAUAUUGAACCGCAUGGUUCAAUAGUGAAAGACGGUUUUGCUGUCACUUAUAGAUGGAUCCGCGCCGCAUUAGCUAGUUGGUAUGGUAACGGCUUACCAAGGCAACGAUGCGUAGCCGACCUGAGAGGGUGAUCGGCCACACUGGAACUGAGACACGGUCCAGACUCCUACGGGAGGCAGCAGUAGGGAAUCUUCCGCAAUGGGCGAAAGCUUGACGGAGCAACGCCGCGUGAGUGAUGAAGGCCUUCGGAUCGUAAAACUCUGUUAUUAGGGAAGAACAAAUGUGUAAGUAACUAUGCACGUCUUGACGGUACCUAAUCAGAAAGCCACGGCUAACUACGUG